rnacentral:rRNA from 1 species
UACGUAGGUGGCAAGCGUUGUCCGGAUUUACUGGGCUUAAAGGGCGCGUAGGCGGGUUCGCAAGUCUGUGGUGAAAGCCUCCAGCUUAACUGGAGAAGUGCCAUGGAUACUGCGCAUCUUGAGGAGGGUAGGGGCGUCUGGAACGGUCGGUGGAGCGGUGAAAUGCGUUGAUAUCGACCGGAACUCCGGUGGCGAAGGCGAGGCGCUGGACCCUUUCUGACGCUGAGGCGCGAAAGCCAGGGGAGCAAACGGG